UAUGAUACCCUUGGUUUUUUUGAACUUGAGGGGUAAGAGUCUACACAUAUUUGUACCCUAGAGCCGACAUAACAUGCUAGAGUAAACUCAUAUUUUUAUCCUAGAGUCUACACAUAUUUGUCAUGUCUAGAUGAGUCUCGAAUAGACAACAAUCGUCUAGAUCAAUCUUUUUUGAAAUGAUAUAAGGGCAAAAAAGGUGUAACAGCGAAAGGCAAGAAAAGGAAACACGAGUCUGCUGGGCCUGGGGCUGAUGUGUAUCUCUACUACUAUAAAAUAAGCAAACGUUAACUCCCCUAAACGCAUCCCGCUUACUGUACACAGAAGAAAACACAUCAAUUGGAGGGUCAAGAUAAGCCUACUCAAUGGGAUCUAACCGUGAAUACAUAAAAGUACCCCUCACGUUGUACGCUAAGCAAUUUAGGUGGGCGGACGAAACUCUGUCGUCCUUCAGCCAACGCCAACUAAAAGAAAAGAAAAAAAACACAGUGAAACAGCCACAUCCGCUCCAAAAUUAGUGGCAACCAAUCCUCCCGUCGCUCUUCAGAGUUGCCCUCCACCGAAACGCCCGCGCCGAGGAUGCCCGCACCGACGACGCCAGACGACGGCGGCACCGACGACGCCAGACGACGGCCGCACCGACGACGCCGAUGACGACCGCGACAUCCAUGACGACGACCUCCUCGCCAACACAGGUGCAUGCUUUCUCUUCAAUCUUUCAGACGCCGUCGCCUACACUGUCGCGACUGUCUCCGGACUAAGCAUCGGCGGCGGCAAACUCCUCGGCAGGCUGAUUUGCAAGCAUGUGAGGAUGUUAACAAUGACAUCCGUUCAUUGCUCCUGUUUCUGUUCUGCAUAGUUCUGCAUAAAUAGUGAAACCAUGGUUAAUCCACAUACUAGGAUCUAUGAUUGUCCAUGUAAUCGAUGCAAGAGAUGAACCAUAUGCCGUGAGCAUAUGUUAUGAAAACCAAUCAUAAAGUGCAUGAGCAAGUGAAAUCAUACCAUGGAUCCUCAGCAGAUCCCCAUGGUACUGAAAAUUUGAUACCACUGACCUAACCUAUGACUGAAACAAAUCUUUGUAGUUUGCCACAAUGUUCUGUCAAAUUAAUAUGUACAUAUAAAAUUCACACUGACUGUGACCUCUUGGUUCCGAACAUUAAUCUAUAUGAAUAUUAUUACAAACUACAGAGCUACAUGUUUACCGCCAAUGUCCCCUCAAAAUCAUAUGACCAUAAGAAAAUACACCCUAUACAUGAGGCCUGUUGAUCGAAAGCGACAAUUGAGAAUCAAUCUAUUACAAAGAUGUCCCCUCAAAAUCAUAUGACCAUAAGAAAAUACACCCUAUGCAUGAGGCCUCUUGAAAGCGACAAUUGCGAUUGAAUCUAUUACAAAGUACAUCAUUACAUUUCGAGGUUGUUGGUUCCAUAUUCUAAAUGAUGGUCUUGCACUCCAUUAAAUAUAAUGAUCUCACAUCUUUUUACAGGAGUUCAUAUGGGCCCUACCACUCCCAACAGGACCCCCACUCCCAGCAGGACGCGCACCCCCUUCCAGGAUAUAAGCAACAACCAAACAUCAGGUAUUGAUCAUAACCCAGUCAGGACGUGCACCCCCUUCCAGGAUAUAAGCAACAACCAAACAUCAGGUAUUGAUCACAACCCAGUCACUCAAGUUCGAUACAGUAUUACAACUACUGAACUGUGUCAUGAUUUGCAGACCCAAAGGAACUAAAAAGGUAGAGGGAUAGAGAGCGGUAUGCAAAAAAUAAGAUGAGAUUAAUAAGAGAAGGCGUGAAGCCUAUAAAAGAAAAAAAAUACCACUGAGGAAAUAGAUGGCCUACAUAACGGAACACCUGCACAGCUAGCUGUAUCACAAGGUAAUGAUGAUCAAAUUUCAUUAUCUAUGCCCCAAUUGAAUUGGCAUGUAAUUAUUUUUUCUUCAUCUGUUCAGACACUAAUGAGACUAAGAAUCGGAGGGAAAGGGAGCGUUAUGCACAGAAUAGAGAGGAAAUAUUAAAGAGACAACGCCAAACCCAUGAGCAAAAUAGAAAUAUUACUGCUGCUUUCGAUGGCAGUAACCUUGUGUCACAUAUGCCAGCUACUUGACAAGAGGCGGUCACCCAACUGCAGAACAUUACUGCUGCUUUCAAUGCCAGUAACAUCGUGUCACAUGUGCCAGCUACUGGACAAGAGGCGGUCACCCAGCUGCAAAACAUCACAGGCCCAGAUGGUGCAUUACCAAUUUUAGGACCAUACAAUGGAUUCAUACAAACUGACAAGGAGAAUAUUUCUGACAAUGAUGAAUCCGAUUGGCUGCACAGAAAUGAUGUGUACCAGAUGCAACAAAGUUCAAGAAGAAUGACACUCAUACAACUGUCAGGGGUUGACAACCCCCAACUCAAUACAGUCGUCAAUCUACGUACCCCAGGGGUAACUUUUCAUGAUCAGGGUUAGUUCAUUGAUUUAAUUAAGUUGCUAAAUUAUCAAUAGUGUUUGUUUCUCCUUUAAUUGAGCACUCCGUUCUUCAUUCGAUUGAGACUAGCAUUUGGUUCAUAUCUUCGGUUCAUCCCUACUACUUACUCACUGGGGUCAACCAAUGUUAUCAGGCAACGACCACGGCGAAGAUGCGUAUGGAAUACUGGAGCCCGAUGUCCAGACCAUAAUACUUGAUGGUAUGCAAAAUGGCAGUUUAAGAUUCCUCUACCCCGAUAAUAUGUGUCAUACGCGUAAUUUACGUGACCUUGUGCAUCAUAACUCUGUCCUAAUCAUGAUUUACUAGACUGCUUGGGAGACCGAAACCUUGGAGAAACUGGUGAUGUUGACCCUGAUGAAGAAGCUAGGAUGUUUGCUAGACCAGGUAGAUUAUUGCUAUCAUGAGUUAUGAAUACGACAUAAGAUAGUUAUAUGGUUUGUGCACAAACUUUAAAUAAUGCAAUUGUCCAUUCUUUUCCAGAUGUUGAUUUUGAAUCCUACCGAGUGGCACUGCCAUCGUGGCGAACGGUGGCGCCCCUAACGGUCCUUUUCUGCACUGUUUGGGCGAUCCAGACGGGCAUUUAAUGCCCUUGUCCCCUGCCGUCAGGGUUAGGUAGGGUGCACUGUACAAGUAACUGUACCAACCACCUCACUUUUUACAUUUGUACCCUUCUCUGCGUUGCCACCUGUCGGUGACCCCUUCAGUGUAUAAAAGGAGGCCCAUGCGCAACGUAGAGGGGGUUCGGUUCGACUGGUUCGCAAGGUUCGACCCAUUCAUAACCCAGAAAAAGACUAUGCUCUCUCUCUAUGGAGCAAGAACACAAGAUAAUCAAACAAGCAGCAGUAGGGGUGUUAUCUCUCCGGAGAGCCCCAAAGCUGGGUAAACUGCUCGUGUGCUUCGCCUCGAUCUGCUCUUCGUGCGAUCUCCGCCCCCCGCCGAACCGAAAGGGGCCCGGUCCGCCGGCCCCAUAGGUGUUGGUGAUGGAACUAUCACUAAUGAGCAUCAUGACAGAGUUUACAUGAACCUGCCCAAAAAUCACCAUGUACUUAGAAAAGUUAGCGACUGCUGCCACUGUGGAGCUUUGUGGUUCCAAUACGAGGGGCCUGCAUUUUGUUGCAGGAAGGGAAAAGUUGGUGUAUUUACUCCAGAGGUUGAUGAAGAGUUGAAACGAUUGUUCACAAGUCAGGAUGAUGAGGAUGCAAAAUAUUUCAAAGAUAAUAUACGGUAUUUCAACUCCCACUUCUCAUUCACCAGUCUUGGAGUCACCCUUGAUCGUUGAGUCAGCACUGUGGCAGGAACAGGUGUAUAUACAUUUCGUGCCUGUGGGGGAUUGUACCACACUCUUGAUGAUCUGUCGUCUGGUGAUAAUGGCCCUCGGCAUUUGCAGCUAUAUAUUUAUGAUACGGAUGAAAACUUGCUUCACAGAGUUAAGAGGUCUCCGAAUCUUAGGCUGGAUCUCAUACGGAAGAUUCUAACAAUACUAGAACAUAACCCUUAUGCAAAGGUGUUGAAGAGCCUUGGUGCUGUUCCAAAUCUGGAUGAAUAUAGGAUCUCACUAAACACAGAUAUCAACCUCGAUCAACGAAGGUACAAUGCGCCAACUACUUCUCAGGUUGCAGCAAUAUGGGUUGAAGGAAGCGACCCACAUAAAACCUUUGAUAGGAGUGUUGUUGUAUAUGGUAAAGGAGACCGUCCCCUGUAUAUUAGAGCAUACCAUGGGUGCUACGACCCUUUGUCAUAUCCACUGUUCUUCCCACGUGGGGAGAUCGGUUGGAAUCAUUGGAUGCCAUAUAUUGAGUUAGUCGAUGACACAAACCAAGUUUCAGUGGAUGAAUUUGCACAACAGAACCCAACCUAUGGUUUUCCUUCAAGUAUGAUGUUCAAAAUUGGUAUAUAUCAUAUUAUUUAAAUUAAAACUUAAGCAUUCAUCCAUCUUUCAGAUGAUAACGUGAUUAGAGAACAAGUUGGUCAUAACGCACAGCAUGAAGAGCAACCCACUGAUUUACCUGAAGGUAUAGGUCGUCAUUACUACUUCUAUUAUUCUCUAAAUUCAAACUUAUGCAGUCAUCCAUCUUUCAGAUGAUAACAUGCUUAGAGAACAAGUUGGUCAUAACACACAGCAUGAAGACCAACCCACUGAUUUACCCAAAGGUAUAGGUUGUCAUUACUACUUUUAUUGUUCUUUAAAUUAAAAUUUAUAGUCAUCCAUCUUUCAGAUGAUAACAUGAUUAGAGAACAAGUUGGUCAUAACGCACAGCAUGAAGACUCACCCACUGAUUUACUUGAUGGUAUAGGUCGUCAUUACUACUUUUAUUAUUCUUACUUAUGGUUGUACCUACCAUAACAAUUUUUAUGUUGUUAACCAAUUAUUAGGUGAUGACGAUGAUAACCUGGAUGAGGAUUUUGGUGACGAUGAGAUGAAUCCAACAAAAUCAAGGAAAUUUGUUAGCGCGAGAGAGUACUAUUGCUUCAAGUUGUGUGUCUGGAAGAAGCUUUUUAACAUCAUCUUGUUUGGGGGGCGCCUUUUCCAACAGUGGGUUGUUGACAUGUACAUCAAGAUUGAGACAAUGAGGCUUGACUGGUAUUCAAAGCCAGCAAAUCAAAAGGUUAUACACGCUGACCUGUACCAGGUAACGUGCUUCUAUUUAUCACAAAAUUUACAUGUCAGAUGCCUCACUCUUUGCUUGAACCUUUAUACUAAUUGGAGUGAAAUAUUGUUUUAUUAUAGGGUCUUGUUGACACCGUCGUUGCUGGCGAGUCACGCGGUGAUCGGAUUGGCAAGAGAAUCGUGCUUCCACGUACAUUUCCUGGUGGUGACCGUGACAUGCAGCGCAGGUUUCUGGAUGCGAUGGCAAUAUUUCAACGUUGGGGUAAACCGGAUUAUUUUCUCACGAUGACAUGCAAUCCCUACUGGGAGGAGAUAACGCAGGAAUUGUUGCCUGGACAGCUGCCACAAGACCGCCCAGACCUUGUGGCAAGAGUAUACAGAGCUAAGCAACGAAAUAUGAUGGACUUACUAACUAAGGGUAAGCAUUUCAGAGAAGUCGCAGCUUAUGUACAUGUCACAGAGUUUCAGAAGCGAGGUCUCCCGCAUGAGCAUAUACUUCUAAUCAUGAAAGCAAAAAGCAAGUUAAGGACCCCAGAUGACUAUGAUAGGGUGAUAUCUGCAGAGAUACCCGACAAAAAGAAAUAUCUUGUCCUCCAUGAUCUGGUAGUCAAACACAUGUUGCACGGCCCAUGUGGUGCACUCCAGAAAAUUGCCCUUGCAUGAUAGAUGGACAAUGUCGAUUUCAUUACCCGCGAGAUUUCUGUAAUGCUACAUUACAAGGGAAAGACUCAUAUCCCAUCUAUAGAAGGAGGGACGGCGGGGUUCGAGUAAGGAUCAGGGAGCAGAUUUGGACAAUAGAUGGGUGGUCCCUUACAACCCCUUUCUGCUUAUGAAAUACAACUGUCAUAUAAAUGUCGAAGCAUGCUCAAGCAUCAAGGCAGUCAAGUACUUAUUCAAGUACAUCUACAAAGGGCAUGAUAAGGCAUCAUUUGCAUUCGAGCAGGAUAUUAUCAAUGAUGGGGGAAUCAUUAAUGAAAUUCGUCAAUACAGGGAUGCACGCUAUAUAUCUCCUCCAGAAGCUAUUUACAGGAUUUUUGGGUUUAAAAUGUUUGGUGUUAGUCCAUCUGUGUUACAGCUGCAGCUUCAUUUGCCAAACAUGCACACAGUCGCAUUUAAGGGUUAUGAAAAUCUGGAAGAUGUUGUCGCUCGCCCAACUUCUUCCAAAUCCAUGCUUACCGAGUACUUUGAGAUGAACAAGAAGUAUCCAGCGGCACGAAAAUGGUUGUACAGAGAGUUCCCAGAACAUUAUAGGUGGAUUGCCGCUAAUAAAAAGUGGCAAACGAGAAGAAGUAAGAGAUCACAGAUUGGAAGACUGGUGUAUGCACACCCUGCUGAAGGAGAGAGGUACUACUUGCGGGUGCUCCUAAGUCAUGUCCGAGGUGCCACUUCAUUUGAUGAUUUAAAAACAGUAAAUGGCAAGCCAUGCACUUCCUUCAGAGAGGCAUGUGAGCACUUAGGCCUCAUUGAGCAUGACAGGACACUGGAUGAUUGCAUGACGGAGGCAGCGACAUUUCAAAUGCCUUCUACUCUUAGACGGUUGUUUGCGACUAUACUGGUAUUCUGUGAGGCAACACAAAUCCGUCAAUUGUGGGACAAACAUCUACCAUCGAUGGCUGAAGAUUACCGCCGCACUAAGUCGAACGAGGCAACACUUGAGCAGAUGGUCCUUAGAGAUGUCAGGGAUCUGGUGCAAUCCAUGGGUAAGGAUAUUAAAAUGUAUGGACUUCCAGAUCUGGUUGACACAGAUGGUUCUUCUGACGCCGAGUAUAGAGAGGUAAUAGAGGAGAGACAAGUUAGAGUUGACCAAGAGCAUCUAGAUCUAUUUAGCUGUUUGAACAGUGAACAAAUGGAUGGUUUCAACGACAUGAUGGAUCAUGUGACGAACCAAAAAAGCCAGAUAUUUUUUGUUGAUGGUCCAGGAGGCACUGGGAAGACGUACCUGUACAAGGCAUUGCUUGCAAAGGUCCGUUCGAUGGGCCUAAUAGCGAUCGCAACUGCUACAUCAGGUAUAGCGGCGUCAAUAAUGCCUGGAGGCCGGACUGCGCACUCCAGGUUCAAAAUUCCAAUCAAGCUCACUAACAACAACAUGUGUGGUUUCACAAAGCAGAGUGGUACGGCAGAGUUGCUUAAACAGGCGUCCUUGAUAAUUUGGGAUGAAGUUGCUAUGACAAAGCGUCAAGCAGUUGAGACGCUUGACAGAUCGCUACAAGAUAUAAUGGAAUGUCCUCUGCCGUUUGGUGGAAAGGUUGUUGUCUUUGGUGGGGAUUUCAGGCAGGUCCUCCCCGUUGUUACACGAGGGACAAGAGCACAGAUCACGGAUGCUACACUGUUGAGAUCCUAUCUGUGGGAUAAGAUCCGCAAGAUACGCCUCACGCGCAAUAUGCGGGCACAGGCGGACCCUUGGUUCUCCGAAUACCUCCUAAGGAUUGGCAAUGGAACGGAAGAAACUAUUGGUGACGACUAUGUGCGUCUCCCUGAAGACAUUGUGAUUGGUUAUACUGAGGAUGAAGAACCUAUUAACAAGCUCAUCGAAGAUGUCUUCCCAUCCCUGCACACCAAUGCUAGGUCGAGGGAGUACAUGAGCAAACGUGCAAUUCUCUCGACCAAAAACGAGCAUGUGGAUGACCUGAAUGACAAGAUGAUCUCUAGGUUUCCGGGAGAAGAAAAGGUAUAUCAUAGCUUUGACUCUAUCGAGGAUGACUUCCAGAAUAAUUACACGAUUGAUUUUCUGAACUCCAUCACACCAAAUGGCUUGCCCCCCAUGUCUUGAAAGUAAAAAUCAACUGCCCGAUCAUUUUGCUACGGAACCUCGACCCUCAUAAUGGCUUGUGUAAUGGAACACGGCUUAUGAUCAGAGCCUUCCAGGAUAAUGCAAUCGAUGCGGAGAUUGUUGGUGGCCAGCAUGCUGGAAAGAGGGUGUUCAUACCUAGGAUCCCCAUGUCGCCAUCGGAGGACACCUCACUUCCCUUCAAGCUUAAGAGAAAACAAUUCCCCAUCCGCCUGAGUUUUGCGAUGACCAUUAACAAGGCACAGGGUCAAACCAUCCCGAAUGUCAGUAUUUACCUUCCCGAACAUGUUUUCUCACAUGGCCAGCUAUAUGUUGCAUUGUCAAGGGGUGUGUCAAGAAAGACGACACGAAUUUUAGCCAAGCCUAACAAGGAGGUUGAUAAAUCUGGGAAGAGCACCAAAAACAUUGUCUACAGAGAUGUUUUAGAGGGGUGAGGCAGGUACGAUCUUUCGUGUAUUCUUUGCACCUUUGCUUUUGUAUCUAUAUAACUAAUUCUCGACCUAACACUUUUCUUUUCUUUUAUUUUCAGGUCUUGUUGGGACAGAGUGUGAAGCUUCCUUUACUUUGCGGUGGAGAUGAGUGAUACAAUAAACCAGGCGCUGGAUUAGCCAUAUUAGGGAACAGUCUAUAUUGUAUUCUGUGCUAUCUAAAUAUACUGUAGCGUUCUGUUCUGCUGAAGAUGUUCUCGAACGCCAAAGUGUCCUGCAGUCUUUGAACCCCUUUCAUUUUCUUUCAUGUAAAGUUUUUUUGAAGAUGUCUCCGGCUGUUGAGUAACUUAACUUAUGUUAGCUAUGUCAUAUAUUUGUGAUGAAAACUGCAAGAGUCUAUGAGAUUUGCAGAAUGUAGUGAAGUUGAGAGGCAUUAUUACUACUGUAUGACCAUAGGUCGUUCCCGAAUCUUUGGUACAUGAGAUCACAUGCUUUCUUUUUUUAGAAAGACAAUAGAAUAUUAGAUGGCUUUAGGUUCACUUCAGUGUUUACCUGAAAAUUGGGGACAGCAACAGGCGCGGAAUCGAUUAUGGAACCCUUAAUCUCUUGCACCGCUGAAGGAUCUUGCCGCUGUAAAUCGACAUCAGGAUAACCACACAUUACUAAACACCGAGUCGAAAAAACAGACAGUAGAAUAGGUACAAGAACGUUCCAAGCAAAGCAAUCUUUACCCACAGGAUCCCCUUGACUUGCCUUACAGACUUGACACUGUCUCACAUUCUUGGAACGACUUAAAGCACUUCCCUGGCCCCUCCUAUCAAGCACGGCCGCUGAGGGUACAUUAACUAGCUGGCAAGACAAAUGAUACAAGAAUUGUAUUUCUAUACAGAGAGGUAAACUUUAUGUAUAAAAAAAGGUAAGAGAAAGCACACAAAAGUAUCGAUGAAACGUUCCGAUGAGCUGAACCCAAUAAUUCUGUAUAAAAAUGUAUUACGAAAAUAACUCCUUUAAUUCUGUAUGUGUGGGGUAUAAAAAAACAAAAAAACAUUGGGUCUGAGAUAAACGAGGAAAGUGUGGGGCCUGAGAUAACAAUCACGAUUCCCUGGACUCCUCACGCUAUGGAAGUCCUUCCCGUGAUUUCUGCCUUACAUAUUGCC
rnacentral:lncRNA from 1 species